rnacentral:lncRNA from 1 species
CUUGGAGAUGGAGACACCCGUACGGACGUAACCUUUCAUCUCUUAAUCGAGAGGUUUAUAUCCAUUGCUCUGGUUCACUAUGUAAGUAGGUUGAAUGUUUUGGAUGAAUUGAUUUGUUCAAUUUAGUUUUCAGUUGUACUAUGGGCUAUUAAAACUAAUGAAAUUAUUGGGCUUCCUUCUUUGUCCAGUUUUAAAUGAAUCAGCAACGUCUUUAGGGACUAGGGAGUACUAUAUGAAGGGAAGUAAACAAAAACUGAAAAAGGAGUAGCCAUUAGCCAACACACAAGAUCAAAUGUAGCGCGAUAUGACAACACAUCUAAUCUUCUUUCAUGAACAUAAGAUCAAAG